rnacentral:rRNA from 1 species
ACGCACGCUGGCGGCGUGCCUAAUACAUGCAAGUCGCACGAGAGCGACCGGUGCUUGCACUGGUCAAUCUAGUGGCGAGCGGGUGAGUAACACGUGGGUAACCUGCCCAUCAGAGGGGGAUAACAUCCGGAAACGGAUGCUAAAACCGCAUAGGUCUUCGAACCGCAUGGUUUGAAGAGGAAAAGAGGCGCAAGCUUCUGCUGAUGGAUGGACCCGCGGUGCAUUAGCUAGUUGGUGAGGUAACGGCUCACCAAGGCCGUGAUGCAUAGCCGACCUGAGAGGGUGAUCGGCCACAUUGGGACUGAGACACGGCCCAAACUCCUACGGGAGGCAGCAGUAGGGAAUCUUCCGCAAUGGACGCAAGUCUGACGGAGCAACGCCGCGUGAGUGAAGAAGGUUUUCGGAUCGUAAAACUCUGUUGUUAGAGAAGAACAAGUGCUAGAGUAACUGUUAGCGCCUUGACGGUAUCUAACCAGAAAGCCACGGCUAACUACGUG